GAUUCUGGCUCAGGAUGAACGCUGGCGGCGUGCCUAAUACAUGCAAGUCGAACGAGAGUGCUUGCACUCUAGUGGCGAACGGGUGAGUAACACGAGGUAACCUGCCUUACAGUUUGGGAUACCCUGGCGAAAGCUAGGCUAAUACCGAAUAAUUGGAUUGGAGGCAUCUCCGAUCUCUAAAAGGGGCCUUUAAAGCCUCGCUGAAUGAUGGACCUGCGGCGCAUUAGCUAGUUGGUGAGAUAACAGCCCACCAAGGCGAGGAUGCGUAGCCGACCUGAGAGGGUGAACGGCCACACUGGAACUGAGACACGGUCCAGACUCCUACGGGAGGCAGCAGUAGGGAGUUUUCGGCAAUGGGGGCAACCCUGACCGAGCAACGCCGCGUGAAUGAUGAAAGGUCUUCGGAUUGUAAAGUUCUGUUAUAAGGGAAAAAUGAUAUGGUGAGGAAAUGCUCCAUAUUUGAUGGUACCUUAUUAGAAAGCCACGGCUAACUACGUGCCAGCCGCAGC
rnacentral:rRNA from 1 species